rnacentral:tRNA from 2 species
AAGACACUAGUAAAAUUGACUAUUACAUUACCUUGUCGAGGUGAAAUUGUGGGUUAAACCCCCGCGUGUCUUA